rnacentral:rRNA from 1 species
UACGGAGGGGACUAGCGUUGUUCGGAAUUACUGGGCGUAAAGCGCACGUAGGCGGAUUUGUAAGUCAGGGGUGAAAUCCCGAGGCUCAACCUCGGAACUGCCUUUGAUACUGCAAAUCUCGAGUCCGGAAGAGGUGAGUGGAAUUCCUAGUGUAGAGGUGAAAUUCGUAGAUAUUAGGAGGAACACCAAUUGCGAAGGCAGCUCGCUGGGACGUUACUGACGCUGAGACGCGAAAGCGUGGGGAGCAACAGGG